rnacentral:rRNA from 1 species
UACGUAGGGUGCGAGCGUUGCCCGGAUUUAUUGGGCGUAAAGGGCGCGUAGGCGGCUCUGCACGUUCGUUGUGAAAUCGCCCGGCUCAACUGGGCGGGGUCAGCGGAUACGGCAGAGCUUGAGCAAGCUAGGGGGCAAUGGAAUUCCCGGUGUAGUGGUGGAAUGCGUAGAUAUCGGGAGGAACACCAGUGGCGAAGGCGGUUGCCUGGGGCUUUGCUGACGCUGAUGCGCGAAAGCGUGGGGAGCGAACAGG